UAUAUGUUUAACGGCCGCGGUAUUUUGACCGUGCAAAGGUAGCGCAAUCACUUGUCUUUUAAAUAAAGACCUGUAUGAAUGGCAUGACGAGGGCUUAACUGUCUCCUUCUCCCGGUCAAUGAAAUUGAUCUCCCCGUGCAGAAGCGGGGAUAUUAUUAUAAGACGAGAAGACCCUGUGGAGCUUUAAAUGAUGAGAGAUUUUAUGCAACAAACCUAAAAAGGUAUAAGCGAAUUUAUACUCCCUCUAAUAUUUUUGGUUGGGGCGACCGCGGAGUAAAAAGAAACCUCCGUGAGGAAUGAGGUAAUUAACCUUAAAUCCCAGAACGACAAUUCAAAGAAGCAAAAUUUUUGACCUAAAGAUCCGGCAAAGCCGAUCAACGAACCUAGUUACCCCAGGGAUAACAGCGCAAUCCCCUUCAAGAGUCCCUAUCGACAAGGGGGUUUACGACCUCGAUGUUGGAUCAGGAUAUCCUAAUGGUGUAGCCGCUAUUAAGGGUUCGUUUGUUCAACGAUUAAAAUCCU
rnacentral:rRNA from 1 species